rnacentral:lncRNA from 1 species
GUCUGUAACCUGUAACUAGCCUGGGGAGAGACAUGUUGUCUGUAACCUGUAACUAGCCUGGGGAGAGACAUGUUGUCUGUAACCUGUAACUAGCCUGGGGAGAGACAUGUUGUCUGUAACCUGUAACUAGCCUAGGGAGAGACCUGGCUGGCUUGCUUUAUUUAAAUGAAUGUAAUACACAUUGUUAUAUCCUUCUGGUUAAAUCCCAAAUGGCACCCUAUUCCCUACAUAGUGCACUACUUUUGACCAGGUCCCAUAGUGCUCUGUUCAAAAGUAGUGCACUUUAUAGGGAAUAGGGUGCCAUUUGGGCCAAAUAUAGGAUAAUUUGACUGUAGCCUUCUGCGUUGAGCAGAGACAACUUUUUCCUUGUUGGCACUUUAUCUGUUGGUUAGUAGGUGUUAUUAUAUUAUUGAACCUCUGGAGCCAUACGCUAUUGGGUUAGUCAGGCUGAUCAGCAAGUCUCAAUAAGGUGUUGGGAUCAACAAGUCUCAAUAAGGUGUUGGGAUCAACAAGUCUCAAUAAGGUGUUGGGUUAGUCAGACUGAUCAGCAAGUCUCAAUAAGGUGUUGGGUUAGUCAGACUGAUCAGAAAGUCUCAAUAAGGUGUUGGGUUAGUCAGACUGAUCAGCAAGUCUCAAUAAGGUGUUGGGUUAGUCAGGCUGAUCAACAAGUCUCAAUAAGGUGUUGGGUUAGUCAGACUGAUCAGCAAGUCUCAAUAAGGUGUUGGGUUAGUCAGGCUGAUCAACAAGUCUCAAUAAGGUGUUGGGUUAGUCAGGCUGAUCAGAAAGUCUCAAGCCUCAAACACCUUAGUAAUAUAUUCUGUCCAUGGACUCAUGUUACUCAUUUUCACUGGGGGGUGCGUCCCAAAUGUCAACUCAUUCUACAUUUGACCAGGGCCCAUAUGGGGGAAUAGGAAGUCAUUAAUGACCAGGGCCCAUAUGGGGGAAUAGGAAGUCAUUAAUGACCAGGGCCCAUAUGGGGGAAUAGGAAGUCAUUAAUGACCAGGGCCCAUAUGGGGGAAUAGUGUGUUCUCAGAAGGUGAAGCCAGUAGUGGCCUACUGGGCCGAGGCUUUGAUGUUGCUUUCCUGUGGCGUUACUUCUUUAUUUUAUCCUUGGUGGGGUUUAUUUUAUGUAAAUCAAGGAGACGUGCUUUUGAUUUGUCUGUUGAGUGUAAGGGGUUGUCCCAAAUGUCACCCUAUUCCCUAUGUAGUGCAUUACUAUGGGCCCUAUUCCCUAUGUAGUGCGCUACUAUGGGCCCUAUUCCCUAUGUAGUGCGCUACUAUGGGCCCUAUUCCCUAUGUAGUGCGCUACUAUGGGCCCUAUUCCCUAUGUAGUGCGCUACUAUGGGCCCUAUUCCCAAUGUAGUGCGCUACUAUGGGCCCUAUUCCCUAUGUAGUGCGCUACUAUGGGCCCUAUUCCCUAUGUAGUGCGCCACUAUGGGCCCUAUUCCCUAUGUAGUGCGCCACUAUGGGCCCUAUUCCCUAUGUAGUGCGCUACUGUGGGCCCUAUUCCCUAUGUAGUGCUCUACUAUGGGCCCUAUUCCCUAUGUAGUGCUCUACUAUGGGCCCUAUUCCCUAUGUAGUGCUCUACUAUGGGCCCUAUUCCCUAUGUAGUGCACUAUAAAUGGAAUAAGGUGCCAUUAGGGAGACAAGCCAUCUCAGAACAUACGCUGUUAAACCAUUGAGUACAUAACUGUGCUGUUACAUAUUUAUAUAAUUUGUAAGUAUGCAUAUUGUAAUUAUUUUAUAUUUGUAUACAUGCACUAGUUUAUAAGUGUGCAUUAUUUUUUCGGGACAUGAAUCAAACUGACGUGUAAAAAAGUUGAAAAAAAUAAAGUACUUUUUUUGUUAACCUGUCUCUGUCUGUUUGUCUGGUCUGUUUGUCUGGUCUGUUUGUCUGGUCUGUUUGUCUGGUCUGUUUGUCUGGUCUGUUUGUCUGGUUUGGUCUGUCUGGUCUGUCUGUCUGGUCUGGUCUGUUUGUCUGGUUUGGUCUGUUUGUCUGGUUUGGUCUGUCUGGUCUGUCUGUCUGGUCUGUCUGUGUCUGGUUUGGUCUGUUUGUCUGGUCUGUCUGUCGAUCUUUGGCCAGGAUUCAAUCCAAGGCACGUUACAGGUCGACACUCUAAACAGCCGACAACGCUCCUCUAAAGGCAAUGUCCCCAGCGUUCACGGAGAUCACAUUCAUG